CUGAAAUAUCUUUUAUUGUAAACAAAAACAAGGCUCAUUAGAAAAAUAUGUAUUUGCUGGACUAUGGCACAAGAACAAUAAGACACCAUGACUAAAGGAUUAUUGACGUGAAGCCCGAGACAGACUAAACAAACUUGAUUAACAUUUUCUUUUUUUAAUCCUGCUCCACCUCUUAAUAAGUGAGACAACCGCUCCUGCAAACAGGUUGAGCAAGAGAGCAUGUCAGGAAGACGCCCUCUAGCGUGCGUUAAGAAAGGUGCAAAGACAGAAACGGAUCUGGUUCCUUUGUAAGCUUAAAUAAGCUGAUGGUUGAUAUACAUCACAACAAAAUAAAUUGAGAUCAAAAGUCUACACACCCCUGUUCAAAGGCCAGGCUUUUGUGAUAUAUAAAAAAAUGAGACCAGAAAUCUUUUCUAGACGGGAUGUAAAACAAAGGCAUGACCUAAUGGGUUUGCAUAAGAGUGUACACCUGUCCUACUUCCCUUUUUAAGAUAUUUAUUUCUUCCUAGUUGAGUUGGGGAGGUUAUCGGAGGUCACAUUAAUUCAUAAACAUUUUUUUUUUUAAAAAUCACAAAAACCUUCCAUUUUCCAUGUGCGUGUUUAAAUACUGUACACAUUUUUUUUUUAAAGCACAGUCUACUCUGAGAAACGUUUAGGGUGUCUCGUAUGUCGGAAAACUUGGGAUUCCUGUUUGUCUGAAAAAAUUGAAAAACUAUAGGGUCCUCGCAGCAUUCACUAAAGUAUGUUUUAAAUAACACCCACACCCACAGGUGAAAUAUUCAAAUAUCAUAUUUACAGGAAGACAUGAGUUAUUUUUUGCCUUGAAUGUUGCAACUUCCUGUGGACCAUGUGACUUGUAGAAUAUUAUAUGUUCAAGGGGGGGGGGGGGGUAAUGUUGGUUUUUUUAACAUAAUGUAUAAUGGCAAAAAGAGGUAAAUACGUAAAUUUAUGUUGUGGUAGACCUCAGUACCAGACCUUUCACUUAAAUUUAUGUUGUGGCGGACCUCAGUACAAGGACUCUCACCAUGCAGGCCUACAGUUAAAGCUGGGGUGAUAUGUUUGUCUUUGUGAUGUCCUGCUUUUUGUUGAUUUGAUGAAUUGUCUCUAGCCACAGUUGUUGGCACAGUCAUGGAAUGAAGACGUGUUCCUCAUUUCUGUCAAAAUGCAAUGAUAUUUCAUGGUGGUUUUGUAUAUGGGGGCAGGCAACAAAUUCUCCUUUUUCAGUGUUCAAUGUAGUUUAUAUACAUUUCUUAAUUUUUUUAAUAUGAAGCCAGAUCAACAUGGAUAUUUCCUGAGUAAUAAUAAUAAAACAGUUUUUACAGUUUACAUUUAAUUUCCUGGAAAUGCAAAAGGCACCAAUUUGAUGGAUUGUGCCGUUUGCAACAUUUUCUCUCGGAUAAAAUGUUUUUUUUGGAACGUUAUGUUCGACCGGUUUCCACGAAAAUUAAAAUGUCUACAACUAUCAUUUAUUGUUUUUGUUUUUUUGCAGUGGUACAAAUAUUGUCAAUCUGUAGUCCUAAAAGGUUGAAUAAUUUAAAAGAACAUGGUCUUAUUGUUAUCUUCAAACUUUCAUCAUGCCAUUAAAAGUCUAGCAUGGGAUCGAUGGCCUAGCCCUAAAAAUAAAUGAGGCUGCACUGUCCUUUGUGCAAGCUUAAACAAAGCACUUUAAUUGCCUUGUCAUGUAUCCAAGGUUGACUCCCUGUACAUUUUGGCUUGCCUGCUGCUCCAACCAGUCAGAUAUCAUUCCUACAUCAGGCACGGUGAGCUAAGUGCCCCCUGGCUAAACGGCACAUCUUGCAUUUGAAGACUCCCAAGGAGAUCAGGUUUUUUUCUUUUUUUUUUUUUUGGUCCAUCCAAAAUGAAAACACUUCCUGGAUCUAUUCUGGGGACAAAAAAGUGAGAUAAAUCCAAUUUAUUCGUGUCUGCGGAAGGGUGUGGCCCACUAUGAGGGGUUGGAAAACUGUGUUUAGAGAGGAAAAUCUUGAAACUGAGCACGUGUGAACGGUUCUAUGACAUUUAAGCUUAAACUGGCUUAAAUGAUUUCCUUGUGACCUCCCUGACUCCUUACCGGUUCUUCCUGAAGUGAGAUGCCUCAGGUCUUUUUUGCACCUCAUAGAAAAAAAACUUGCAUCAAAUUAAAGGCAUCUAGUAAGUACACAGAGGAAGUUUUUUUUUUUUUCUUUUCAAAGUGCAUUUACAUAAUUUCUGGAUGGCGUGAAAGACAAGGACAGGAAAGGGGGGGGGGUGCACCUCCAGUGGGUGUGUCAUCUGUCGUGUCUCAACAUGGCAUGCUCGAGUUGAUAGACAGCUGCACUCGCACCUGAGCUGCCAAGGUGAGACACACGAGUGAAAAACACUCACCGCCGACCGUCUGUCUGUCCACCGACUUCUUCUCGGUCAUCAGGUAGUUUUCACAGCUGUUCUGUUGCCCGCACCGCUAGAAACUUUGCCUGGGAAUUUGUCGCCUGUAACAUUUCAGUCAUUGUUUCUGGUCGUGUGUGCAACGUGCAUCCAAGCCUGCAGAAAAAGUGGAUUUUUGGUUGUUUGUAAACAAACAGAAGUUUUCAGGUUGGGAUGCAAUGAUUGCCAAGUACAUCUAAAUGGACUACUCUGAGCAAAUAUUUUCCUUGUUUGAAAAUCUAAGCUAGCGCUUUAGUGGUGACAUACAUAAGGGCACAGUGGGUAUGGUUGUGGUGUUGCCACAUGCAAACCGCUCGUGAGUAUGUGUGGUAUGUUGGUGAACCAGCUCAACUUAAUGAUGAUGAUGGGUGUAACCUUUUCCCUUUACAGAGGCCUGAUUUUGUGACAAUGUUGUUAAUUAAAGAGCAGACUUAAGAGUUUGGGAUUUUUUUUAUUGUUAGUUUGUAAUUUACUUUGUUUUUAGAAUGGGUUUGUUGUUGUUCACUUAUCUGAAAAUGAUCCAUUUUAAUUUAGUUUUAGUUUGAGCUUUUCCCAAACGACUACUAACGCUUCUAUUCACCCGAACAGUAAUAGCCAAAUAAUUACAUUUAAAAUACUCCCAGGAAGCUCAUGUAGGAAGUUGAACAACACUAAAACGUAGGACAGUUUCACUAUUUUUAAUUUAAUAGAUGUUAAAUGUAUUUAUUUUGUUUGUUUUCCUUGUCAAUAAUAAGCUUGGAUAUAACUCCAUUACUAAUAUAAAUUUUGCAAAAGUUGGCAUUGUAAUAUUGCAUGUUUUGUUUUUAACAUUUGUCUUCACUGACCUAACAUGAUGUGCAUGCAAGAUGUUUAUAUUAACAAGAUAUUAGAGCAAACACACUACAUUACGGAGUUUAGAGUGAUCUUUAAUGUGUUUUAGGAUACAAGCAAGUUGAAAUUUAGAAUUACUUGAGGUAUACUGGAGGAGAUGAAGCGUAAUUAACACCGAGGAGAACGCCUAUUAAGUUUAAUAGAGGAUCGGAUAUUGUCACUUCGGUAUUUCUUGUUUCCACAAAGUUGAGAACGUCUUAGCCUUGUGUGAAGGGUUAUAAUUAGCGUGAUCAGAGUUUUACAUUCAUAUUAGGAUAGCAGAUUUUGGUGAGAUGAAACAAUGAGUUGGUUGAAUAUUGCGUGCAUUAAAUAUAAUUACAAUGUU